AGUCAGGCUCCUGGCUAAAGUUC
rnacentral:miRNA from 1 species